AUUGUCAAUCACCCUACGGAUUAAAGGUGCGUUUUAUUGCUUCGAUAAUUUCCUAUUUGUUUCAUAAUACUAAUGAAUAUAUGCAAGCAACUCUGCUGGAAUGUUGAUGAAUUAAGCAAUUAAUGUUGAAACAUUUCACAUGACGUAUAUACACCAAAUAACAUGCAACAUGAUUGGUCUUGAAUAUAGGCCAAAUUGUGGACACUAUUAGGAUAUAUUGUGUAUAUCUUUUUAUUAUUGGUAGAUAUUCUCUCAUUAUUGUAUAGUCCUAUAUUUGGUAGGAUU
rnacentral:lncRNA from 1 species